UACGUAGGGUGCGAGCGUUGUCCGGAAUUAUUGGGCGUAAAGAGCUCGUAGGCGGUCUGUCGCGUCGAAAUGUGAAAACCCCGGGGCUCAACUCCGGGCUUGCAUUCGAUACGGGCAGGCUAGAGUUCGGUAGGGGAGUCUGGAAUUCCUGGUGUAGCGGUGAAAUGCGCAGAUAUCAGGAGGAACACCGGUGGCGAAGGCGGGACUCUGGGCCGAUACUGACGCUGAGGAGCGAAAGCAUGGGGAGCGAACGG
rnacentral:rRNA from 1 species